rnacentral:rRNA from 1 species
UGGCUCAGGAUGAACGCUAGCUACAGGCUUAACACAUGCAAGUCGAGGGGAAACGACAUCGAAAGCUUGCUUUGAUGGGCGUCGACCGGCGCACGGGUGAGUAACGCGUAUCCAACCUGCCCACCACUUGGGGAUAACCUUGCGAAAGUAAGACUAAUACCCAAUGAUAUCCCACGAAGGCAUCCGAAUGGGAUUAAAGAUUUAUCGGUGAUGGAUGGGGAUGCGUCUGAUUAGCUUGUUGGCGGGGUAACGGCCCACCAAGGCAACGAUCAGUAGGGGUUCUGAGAGGAAGGUCCCCCACAUUGGAACUGAGACACGGUCCAAACUCCUACGGGAGGCAGCAGUGAGGAAUAUUGGUCAAUGGGCGAGAGCCUGAACCAGCCAAGUAGCGUGCAGGACGACGGCCCUAUGGGUUGUAAACUGCUUUUAUAAGGGAAUAAAGUGAGCUACGUGUAGCUUUUUGCAUGUACCUUAUGAAUAAGGACCGGCUAAUUCCGUG